rnacentral:rRNA from 1 species
AUUGAACGCUAGCGGGAUGCUUUACACAUGCGAGUCGAACGGCAGCGCGGACUUCGGUCUGGCGGCGAGUGGCGAACGGGUGAGUAAUGUAUCGGAACGUGCCCAGUAGCGGGGGAUAACUACGCGAAAGCGUAGCUAAUACCGCAUACGCCCUACGGGGGAAAGCAGGGGAUCGUAAGACCUUGCACUAUUGGAGCGGCCGAUAUCGGAUUAGCUAGUUGGUGAGGUAACGGCUCACCAAGGCGACGAUCCGUAGCUGGUUUGAGAGGACGACCAGCCACACUGGGACUGAGACACGGCCCAGACUCCUACGGGAGGCAGCAGUGGGGAAUUUUGGACAAUGGGGGCAACCCUGAUCCAGCCAUCCCGCAUGUGCGAUGAAGGCCUUCGGGUUGUAAAGCACUUUUGGCAGGAAAGAAACGUCGCGGGCUAAUACCCCGUGGAACUGACGGUACCUGCAGAAUAAGCACCGGCUAACUACGUG